GAAUCUAAAUCUAACACGGACUUCAAACACCCUGACAAUCACCAAGGAAGAUUGACUACACCGAGCUGUUUACAAGAUGCUUUUGAUGGUGACAUAUAGAGCAACAUGUGUUACACAAUGAAACAGAUCCAGAGAGAUGGACUGACCUUGCCCAUGACUCACAGAAAGUGACCAACCUAGCAAGCCUAGGACCCCAGACUGCCAUGAAAACAUCCACAUGUACAUGGUGUGGCGGCUCAUUUACAAAAAGGAGCUGCUAUUAUUGCCAUCUUGGCUAUCUGUGAUGCUUGCAACUCAUCGGGGCUCCUCGGGGCACAGGACUCCAGGACCGACUCUCCAGCACCGCCUCUCCAUCGCCAGUUCUUGCUACUAACCGCUGCCUUCUUGGAGGGUUUUCAUUUCCCAGUGUACACUUUCAGCGCAUAGAAUGUGCAUAUUAUAUUCAAAGGUUUCCUGUCACUUAAGUAGUAACGUCUUAGUUUUCUCUUAAGCUCUCACACCCAGCACACUGCCUGACAGAGAGCAUUUGUGAAAGGGUGCAUGAACUACACAGAAGUGAACUGAUGUGAGCUUUUUAUAUGUACACCUAAAAGUAAACGUUUUCAGAAUAUCAUGAUGGAGGGAACCAGAUUGCUGUUAUCAAACACACCUAGAUUCUGCAUCAUACAACCAGGUAUAACCUCUUAGUUCCCCUUCAGGUCAUCCCAGAAAGAUUAAACUGCAGCACUGAAAAAGUUCUGCAUAAUCAUUACUGAUAAUAUAUUGCAUAAAGCUAGAAAUUCUCCAAAUAAAAAAAGUCUAAGAAUAUAAUCUGGAAAAAUAGGGGGCCCUUUCCCAACCAAGCUUCUGCUCCUUGAGAACAUUCUACCACAGUAUAUAAUAUGAAAGGUGAGAAGUGUUAAGAAAAGGAUAAUAUCAAAUUUGACAUCUUGCAAGGAAAGCACCGUGAUUUUUUUUUAAUUUUCUUUAGAAAUCCAGGUGACAAAUCAGUCAUUCUUUUAAAAGACAUGUUGCAAUAUCACUGUUGAAUAGCCUUACUAGACAUUUAAACAUAGUCCUACUUCUAAUCCUGCCAGCUCUUCACAGUCUUAAUAUACAUAGGAAUCACUAUUUGAAGAUAUAUUUGCUUUUUAUAGGUUUAAUUCUUUACUGAGAGAAACAUGAAGCAACAACUAUGUUUGCCUUUUGUGCCCAACGUCUAUGAACAAUGCUUGCCACACAUUUGAAACUCAAUUAAUUGUUGAAUAAAUGAAUGAAUGAACUAGACUCAAUCUAAACAGCAUUUUAAAUUUUGUAUAACAAAAUAAUAUCAAUCUAGAAACAAUUAUGGUGCUAAAAGAAUCUGUUUUCCAUCAAAACUAUCUUAAUUCUCCAGUUUUAGUAAGUACAGAUUUUAAGCUUAGGGGGUUUCCUGCCAGUUUUUCAGCUACUUUACCUGGUCGUUUAGUUUUCCUUCCCUCCCUCCCUUAAACCCACUUUUCUUUUUUUCCUUUUUUCUGUUCCUCCUCUUACUUUCUCUUUUUUGAAAAAAAUGACCUUUAUCAAACAUGUGGUCACUGCUUAUAAUUAUCAAUUUCUAGAUAUUUAUCAAUAGCUUUUGCAAUAUUAUUUUGUUAUGCCAAAUUUAAAACAUUUAAAACCAACUUGUUACACUGUUUAGAUUAAUUUGAGUUUAGUUCAUUCAUUCAUUUAUUCCCCACACCCACCUCAGCCUCCUGAGUAGCUGAACUGCUGGCACAUGCCACACACCACUGAACCCAUUAAAUUUCUUUAAAUUUUCAGUAGAGACGAGGUCUUGCUACGUUGCUUGGACUGUAUCAAUAGCUUUUAAUACAGCUUAUUUUUGCUUCCUACUGCCUAAGCCGAACUUAAAUGUAAAAUUUCGAAGAUAAUCCUUAGAUCUAUCUUAAAAUGAAUAUGUUAACAGCAGACUUUGUCAAGUUAGAUUUAACGAUGCCACUCGACUUCUAAAUCAUGGCGUAUCUUUGUGUUGAAAUAUCUCUCAAUUGCUUACUUAGUAGUAAUUUUUAAAAUAUAAGUUUCUAUUUUUUCUUUUUUUUUUGAGACAGCAUCUCGCUCUGUCACCCAGGCUGGAGUGCAGUGGCGCGAUCUUGGCUCACUGCAACCUCCAUCUCCUAGGUUCAAGCGAUUCUUCUGCCUCAGCCUCCUGAGUAGCUGGGACUACAGGCGCGCGCCACCACACCUGGCUAAUUUUUGUAUUUUUAGUAGAGACAGGGUUUCACCAUAUUGGCCAGGCUCAUGAUCUACCCACCUCGGCCUCCCAAUGUGCUAGGAUUACAGGCAUGAGCCAUGGCGCCCGGCCAAGUUUCUAUUCUUAAAAUAAAGAGGUUAUACAUCUAAAUUACAAAUCGUGGCCAAAAAGAGAGACAAUUUUUACUACGUUUUCCCCCCAGUAUGUAAAUACUGUGUAUGUGAUUCAUACAGGGCAUCGUCGGUGGAUUUUGGGCAAGUAAUAGCCCUUUCAAACGAACUGCUUCUCAAGCUACUCAUUUGUUUCCUAGGAUUAGAGGGUAGAAAUCCUGAUUUUGGUAUUCACUUACUAAACCUUUCAUGUCCAAUUUUUACUUGACUUAAAUGUUAUUUCUCCAAGAUGUUGUUAACUCCCUUGCAAUCCAAUAAUACUAUUGAGCAUUUUUCCUUUCUUAACUGUGAUUAUAUUUGUCACCUAUAUGCUCAUUUAUUUAUAUGCGUUUCUACCUUUUAUAUGUAUUGCUACCUGACACUAUCUCUGACCUCAAAUAAAGUAACAUUUUAUUUCUGUGGUCUUUA